GACCGUACCUUGCAAUGUCCUA
rnacentral:siRNA from 1 species